UUAUCCACGUUAAUUGUGAUUGCUAGAUUAAUGAGCUGUGCAUGUUUGAUCAAUGCUCUUUCCUUGUAGGAUGAUAAUUUAUAGAGAAUCAUUUGAUUAUUUUUUUAGGUGGGAUUUGAAGCUGUAUUUAAGAAAUGGACAGAAUUCAGCCACCCCUGGAAGAAGGAUCUUGGCAGAUACAAAUGCAUUGAUGGACAUGUAUCAAACAAUUACCAGUAAUCCACACUCUCUGCAUAGGUAGUA